GGAAGGAUCAUUAUUGAAUUAUGUUUCUAGACGGGUUGUCGCUGGCUCUUUGGAGCAUGUGCACGCCUGUUUAGAUUUCAUUUUCAUCCACCUGUGCACCUAUUGUAGUCUUUGGUUGGGUAAGGAGGAAGUGGUCAACCUAUCAGCAUUUGCUGGAUUUGAGGAGUCUGCAGUGUGAAAACAUUGCUGUCCUCAACUUGGCCAUGGAGUCUUUUGCCUGCCAGAGUCUAUGUCAAUCAUUAUACUCUAUUGAAUGUCAUUGAAUGUCUUUACAUGGGCUUGUAUGCCUAUGAAAAUUGUAAUACAACUUUCAGCAACGGAUCUCUUGGCUCUCGCAUCGAUGAAGAACGCAGCGAAAUGCGAUAAGUAAUGUGAAUUGCAGAAUUCAGUGAAUCAUCGAAUCUUUGAACGCAUCUUGCGCUCCUUGGUAAUCCGAGGAGCAUGCCUGUUUGAGUGUCAUUAAAUUCUCAACUCUCUUAUACUUUGUUGUAAAGGAGGGCUUGGAUUGUGGAGGUUUGCUGGCCACUUGUUGGGGUUCAGCUCCUCUGAAAUGCAUUAGCGGAACCGUUUGCGAUCUGCCACAAGUGUGAUAACUAUCUACACUGGCGAGGGGAUUGCUCUCUGUGUUGUUCAGCUUCUAAUCGUCUCACAAGACAAUUUUUUGAAUGCUUGACCUCAAAUCAGGUAGGACUACCCGCUGAACUUAA
rnacentral:rRNA from 1 species